rnacentral:lncRNA from 1 species
AUGGCAUGUUUUUCUUUUUUCAGAAGUCUUAUGCACAUAGAUUGGCAUCAAGCAAAAAUCAUAAGACCUCCGAGAAAAGAAAAACAUGCCAUCUUAGCUGAAACCAUGGAAAUUUACGCUAAUGAGAAAAAAGAAAAACUUGUGAAUGACCACUCCUCUCAAGAAUUACCACACCCUUGGGAAUAUCUCAUAAGUAAAACGACACAAUGAUCUUGAAACGUCAUUGAACUUUAACCGUGAAUUAAAAUGGCUCUCUCCUAGAUAAUAUCCGUUAAAUGUAUUUAUGAAUAAUCUGCUCCAUCAUGAAU